AAGUGCUAAGGUUCUCCCCAACGUGGGGUUUUAAAGGAAAAGAGAUAAAAAAAUCAAUCAGAAAAUGGAAAAAAACUGAAGAGCUCCUCUUAUACAGUAACCUCAAUUUCACAUAAGAGAUUGUGACGUGUCGCUAAAUCGUUGGCUCCAUUUAAUGCAGAGCAAUUUUUUUAGCCCGAUUGUGUUCUUUUUCUUUCUCUCCCUCUCUCUCUCUUUGUCGCGAAUCUCUCAAUCAGAUGAGAUGGGAUCGGUUGGAAUCAUAGGAGAUUGGAAUCGGAGGAGGAGAUUGAAUCGAUUCUCAACGCAACAUCAUAAGCGUCAAUUGGUGUUGUUGCCGCUAAGUCUCCUUGGAAAACAACCGCUUCUCCUCCUGAGACUGUUGAUGCUCCUGUAAUGGGAGCUGAUUCCUGGCCUGCGCUCGCCGACGCCGCUCAACAGCCUCGUCAUAAGAAUCCUCCGCCUCCUGCCCCGCCGUCUAAAACCAUUUCGGCCUCUACCCCAACACCUGCUCAGGUUCGUUUUUUGUUAAUGUUGUUGGGCUGCGGUUUAAUUUUGAGCAUUGUACUUUCGUAGAGCUGAAAGGUAUCUGAUUCUUGUUCUCUUGCUCAAUUCUUCAAUCUGAUAUUCACCAAUCAAAACCUAUUUUGCGUGAAUUGGAUUUUUUUUUUCGUCUUUUUUUUGAGUUGACAGAAGAAGGCAGAUGCGUCUUCCUCCGAGAUAGCUCCGAUACCAACUAGGGUUUGGCAACCAGGUGCUGAUACGCUCGAAGAUGGAGAGGAACUUUAGAGUGACCCUUCUGCUUAUAAUUCUCUUCAUGGGUUCCAUGUUGGUUGUCCCUGUUUGAGGUAUAUAUUUUGUGAUGAUUUCUUUGGUGAAGAGUCCAUAUCUUAUGAAAUCUUUGCAGGUCCAUUUUCUGUCAUUGAUGAGCACUUCAAUCCUGUUCUUUCAAACUGUUUUUGAUGCUAUCGGCCUGAUGCUUAUGAUUCGCAUAAUACACAACCACCAGAUAAUGCAAACCAAGAUAGGCUAAGCUGCUUCUAAUGGUUAUCCUGAAAAUUGAUCGGAUAUUGUUUUGUUUUGGACAACUUUGGCAUGUUUUCAUUUUUGUUUCAAGGCAGACUGCAUUUCUUUGUUUUACACAUUUUUUAUGAUGGAAACAGUUUUCAUAAUGGAAAAAUUUUAAUUUCAAAAAACUAUAUUUUCAAAAA